rnacentral:rRNA from 1 species
UACGUAGGGAGCAAGCGUUGUCCGGAAUCAUUGGGCGUAAAGCGCGCGUAGGUGGCCACAUAAGUCCGUUGUGAAAGUCAAAGGCUCAACCUUUGAAAGCCGAUGGAUACUGUGUGGCUAGAGUACGGAAGAGGCGAGUGGAAUUCCUGGUGUAGCGGUGGAAUGCGCAGAUAUCAGGAGGAACACCAAUAGCGAAGGCAGCUCGCUGGGACGUUACUGACACUGAGGCGCGAAAGCGUGGGGAG